rnacentral:lncRNA from 1 species
CUGCCAAGGGACAGGAGCAGCCCAGGGGCCUCGCCAGCCUUCAGGAGACGUGGGCAGCCCUGGUCCAGGAGGCCGAAGCCAGGCACCACUGCCUGCAGCAGAUCGUCCCUGCUGCCAGCGUCUUCCAGGAGUCGGUUGAGGCUUUCCAAGACUGGCUGAGCUUGACAGAGCAGAAACUGGCCCAACUCUGGGGAGCCCCAGGGAGCCUGGCACAAAGCCAAGAUGCCCUCCAACAGAUCCAGGCACGGUGCAGGGAAAGCUUCAAGGAGGCCCAAAGGGGGAGGGGGAGGAUCAGGGAGCGGGAGGGGCCACGAGGCCUCCUGGAGUCACCUGGGUGCCUGCUUUCCUCCAGGAUCUGCGCAAGGAAGUUCAGUCGAAGCCAGCAGAACUGGAAGAGGCCCUGGAACGUGGAUGGCGGCUCUUGCAGAUGGUGCCAGGGCUGAGGUGGGGCUCUGCUCUUGCAGGGGAAGAAGGGCAGCUUGUCCAGGGCAAGGUGGACUCCCUACGGCUGAGGCUGCUGCUGGUGGACCAGAGGAGCAGCGACGCCCUGCAGCGGAUGGAGCAGACCUUGGAGGCCUCUCCCCGCCUGGACCCGGCCCAGGAAGACCCGACCCUUGGGCUGCAGCCCCCGGAGAAGGAGCAGCACUUGCCAGGCAGCCAGGCAGGAGACGGGCCCAGCCCCCUGGCCCCUGCAGGCAGAGAGAAGGAGCAGCAGGAGGCACUGGAGGGUCUGCAGGAGGCCAUUGCCAAGCACAAGCCUCAGAUGGGGAAGCUGCAGCGCAUCACCGCAUGGCUGGCCAAGCUACAUCCGCGAGAGGCAGCACCGCUCUGGCAGAGGCUGCAGGCAGCCGAGGAUCAGCAUGGCAGUCUCCAAGAGCAGGCCCAACAGGCCGCAGCCAUGCUGGGAGAGGCCCUCCCACAAUGCAGCCAGCUGUCUGAGGGGCUGGAGCUGGUGGCUGGGAGUCUGGCAUGGCUGCAGGACCACACACGGCACCCACUUGCUCUGUGGGGAGACCCCGUCUGGCUCCAGGCGCAGCUCUGGGAGAACAGCCUGCGGCUGGUGGAGCUGGAAAAGCUGGGCGUGGCCCUUGAGACCCUGCAUGGACAGGGGGCGGAGCUUGAAGCCACCCUGCAGAGCACUGCAC